rnacentral:rRNA from 1 species
AUUGAACGCUGGCGGCAGGCUUAACACAUGCAAGUCGAACGAGUGGCGGACGGGUGAGUAAUGUCUGGGAAACUGCCUGAUGGAGGGGGAUAACUACUGGAAACGGUCGCUAAUACCGCAUACCAUCAGCUGUUCCCAGAUGGGAUUAGCUAGUAGGUGGGGUAAUGGCUCACCUAGGCGACGAUCCCUAGCUGGUCUGAGAGGAUGACAAGCCACACUGGAACGGCGACACGGGCCAGACUCCGACGGGAGGAAGCAGUGGGGAAGAGUGCACAAUGGGCGCAAGCCUGACGGAGCAAUGCCGCGUGAGUGAGGAAGGUCUUCGGAUCGUAAAGCACUGUUAGGAGGGAAGCGGUACCUAAACAAAAAGCCACGGCUAACUCCGUGCCAGCAGCCGCGGUAAUAC